AAUGGGAGGAAAAGAAACCAACUGGGAUUACCUUAGUAACGGCGAGUGAAGCGGUAAAAGCUCCAAAUUUGAAAUUCUGGUACUUUCAGUGCCCGAGUUGUAAUUUGUAGAAUUUGUCUUUGAUUAGGUCCUUGUCUAUGUUCCUUGGAACAGGACGUCAUAGAGGGUGAGAAUCCCGUUUGGCGAGGAUACCUUUUCUCUGUAAGACUUUUUCGAAGAGUCGAGUUGUUUGGGAAUGCAGCUCAAAGUGGGUGGUAAAUUCCAUCUAAAGCUAAAUAUUGGCGAGAGACCGAUAGCGAACAAGUACAGUGAUGGAAAGAUGAAAAGAACUUUGAAAAGAGAGUGAAAAAGUACGUGAAAUUGUUGAAAGGGAAGGGCAUUUGAUCAGACAUGGUGUUUUUUGCAUGCACUCGCCUCUCGUGGGCUUGGGCCUCUCAAAAAUUUCACUGGGCCAACAUCAAUUCUGGCAGCAGGAUAAAUCAUUAAGAAUGUAGCUACUUCGGUAGUGUUAUAGCUUUUUGGAAUACUGUUAGCCGGGAUUGAGGACUGCGCUUCGGCAAGGAUGUUGGCAUAAUGGUUAAAUGCCGCCCGUCUA
rnacentral:rRNA from 1 species